CCUACGGGAGGCUGUAGUGAGGAAUAUUGGUCAAUGGACGCAAGUCUGAACCAGCCAUGCCGCGUGCAGGAAGACGGCUCUAUGAGUUGUAAACUGCUUUUGUACGAGGGUAAACGCAGAUACGCGUAUCUGUCUGAAAGUAUCGUACGAAUAAGGAUCGGCUAACUCCGUGCCAGCAGCCGCGGUAAUACGGAGGAUUCAAGCGUUAUCCGGAUUUAUUGGGUUUAAAGGGUGCGUAGGCGGUCGGAUAAGUUAGAGGUGAAAUCCCGAGGCUCAACUUCGGAAUUGCCUCUGAUACUGUUCGGCUAGAGAGUAGGUGCGGUAGGCGGAAUGUAUGGUGUAGCGGUGAAAUGCUUAGAGAUCAUACAGAACACCGAUUGCGAAGGCAGCAUACCAAGCUACUUCUGACGUUGAGGCACGAAAGCGUGGGGAGCAAACAGGAUUAGAUACCCUUGUAGUC
rnacentral:rRNA from 1 species